CAAAAGGUUCUUCAAGCGAUGCCAUAGAAGAACCAUUUUUGGUUCCACAAAGAACCAUUCAGUCAAAGGUUCUUUAAAGAACCAUCUCUUUCUUACCUUUUUAUAAUCUGAAGAACCUUCUUUCACCCCAAAGAACCUUUUGUGAAACAGAAAGGUUCUUCAGAUGUUAAAGGUUCUUUAUGGAACCAUUUAGACAAAAAGGUUCUUCUAUGGCAUCGUGAAGCACCUUUAUUGAGAAGACGAUGGCAAUCCUAGAGCUCUUCAGAUUCAUCAACUCCUCUCUGCUCAUCAGUAAGCGGCCUCUGAACAUCUCAUCGGCCGAGAAGACUGUGUACCACAGCUGCGCAGACAUGCCCGCCGUCCUCAUCUUUUACUUGGUGCUGCAGUUCAUCAACAUGUUCCUGGGCAUCCCGACCAACAUCAUGGUUUUGUGGCUCAUUCGUAAGAAUAAGGGCGACUCGUCUACCUCAGACAUCUUCAUCGUCCACCUGGCCGUGCUGGACAUGUUCUUCUGCCUCAUUCCUCCGCUGGAGCUGGCCAACAUCGUCUAUCUGACCACCAGCAGCACCUGGUACGUCCUGCGCUUCUUCUACGGCAUCAAAGACUCGUCGCCGCUCUUCCUGUGCUGCAUCUGUCUGGACAGAUAUAUGGCCGUCCUGCAUCCCAUCACCUUCACCAAGCUCAAAGACAAGAGGCAUCGCUCUGUCUGCGCUGGCGUCAUCUGGUUCAUCACUUUGGUCUAUGCCGCAGUGAAGUGUGUGGGAAACAUCCCUAACUUUGAGAAAGUGUUCACAGUCAUGAUCCUGGCAGCGUUCGCAUUCAUGCUGUUUUGUAACAUCUCCGUUCUCUGGGCUCUGAGACAGUCGGCUCCAGGUCGAGAUGAGAGACAUCCGGUCAAGAAGAAAGCCUUCAAAAUGGUCCUCAUCAUCUUGGCCAUCAUUGUGUUUAACUACUUCCCGAUUUCUCUCCAGAUGUCUUCCGCUGUUAUAUUCACUACAUCGCCUUUGGCUUCAUGGACAUCAGCAGCAGCAUCCAGCCGGUUCUGUAUCUGUCGCGGGAGAAGCUGCCCAAAACCCUGCGCUGCUGCUCUAAAAACACUGAAUGUACUGAUGAUGCUGUUUACACCGUUAGUCAGUGAGCAGCUGUUAUUGGUUUCAUUUGAUGGAACAGAACUACUGCAUGCACAUAAUAAUGUAGGUUUGUACCUUGUGUUUAUUCUAAACAUUGUUUAU
rnacentral:lncRNA from 1 species